rnacentral:misc_RNA from 1 species
AACCUUAUGGACCUGCGGGCGUAUACCUGCGGAAGGAUCAUUACAAGUGACCCCGGUUUACCACCGGGAUGUUCAUAACCCUUUGUUGUCCGACUCUGUUGCCUCCGGGGCGACCCUGCCUUCGGGCGGGGGCUCCGGGUGGACACUUCAAACUCUUGCGUAACUUUGCAGUCUGAGUAAACUUAAUUAAUAAAUUAAAACUUUCAGCAAUGGAUCU